rnacentral:rRNA from 1 species
UACGGAGGGGGCUAGCGUUGUUCGGAAUUACUGGGCGUAAAGCGCACGUAGGCGGCUUUGUAAGUUAGAGGUGAAAGCCCAGGGCUUAACCCUGGAAUUGCCUUUAAGACUGCAUCGCUAGAAUCGUGGAGAGGUGAGUGGAAUUCCGAGUGUAGAGGUGAAAUUCGUAGAUAUUCGCAAGAACACCAGUGGCGAAGGCGGCUCACUGGCCCGGUACUGACGCUGAGGUGCGAAAGCGUGGGGAUCAAACAGG